AAAUAGAUAGACGGGAAAUGAGCUAUCUAUGUGUGGUGGGUGAAGGUGUAUGGCUGCUGUGUAUGGUGGCUUAGAGUGUGUGAGAAAUAUGAGAGUGUGGAGAAGAAGAUCCUUAAGCCUCUCAUCCUUGGUCUAUUUAUAGGCCAAGGAUUAGGGUUUAAGGAUGUGUACCUUGGAUCCUGCCGUCCAUCUGUAGGGCUUGGAUGCUUAACACCUGUCCAGGUGUCAGCUAAGGAAUAGUAUUUUGGAGUGUUCUGAGGUUUGUCUUCAUAGUGUCAGUAGUUGACCAUUGAGCUUGGAUCCCGGUUCAUAUCCAGACUAAGUUCCGGCAGGACUGGUGUCCACCAACCCGGGUUGAUUGCCUCUCCAGGGUCAUGGAAUUCUCUCCGGGUUGGGUGCACCUCCGGGAUUGCGUCCUUGCAUUGUUGGUCCCUCGAACCAGGGUUGGAGUUAGUCUUGCUCCCGGUUCUUGGCGGGAUUGAGGUAACCCAACGGAUUGGGAUACUUGUCAGGACAUGGUUGAACUAUUCUCACCAAUCCGGAUUCAUGUUCUGGAGUGGGUGGAUUAUUCUCCGCUGGGCCGAAUUCCUCCCGGUGUUGUGCUGAGUCUGGACCAGACUUGGCCAAGGACCUUGAGAAUACGGCCGGGUUGGAUUAUAUACUAUCAUUUGCCCCCCACUCCCUUAUACAGAUUUUCUGUGUGAGGGAGUAGGGAAUAAUGCGAAUCUUGUCUUCGAUCUGGACGAGAAUGGAGUAGGAGUAAAAAUUUGCCACGGCUCCUUAAUUCGGACUGAUCUGGACUAGGAGUAGUAAGUUUCUGUUGCACCCUGAUCUGGGUUGAUAUGGACUAGGGGUAUAAGUAUUCUUUUGCCCCCCAAUCCAGGUUGAUCCGGACAAGAGGUGAAGCUUUGCUUUUUGCCCCCCAGUCCGGGUUGAUCCGGACAAGAAGUGAGAUUUUGCUUUUUGCCUUUGGUCUGGGUUGGUCCGGACAAGGGGAGGUUUUUGCUGUCGUCAUCUGAUCCGGGUCGCUAUAGAUGGUUUCUAAGUAAGAGAUAAGUCAUAACUGGACCGUGGUAGCUUUUGUUUUUUUGCCUAAUAAAAUUUUUCAAGAAUUUUUUUCUAAGUAAGAGAUAGGUCAUAACUAGACCGGGGUAGCAUUUGCUUUAUGCCUUAGAAAAUUUUUCUAAGUAAGAUGAUUGAACCCGGGUAGCUUUUGUUUGUUUGCCUUAGAAAAUUUUUUUCCAAGUAAGAGAUAGCUCAAAAUUGAACCGGGGUAGCUUUUGCUUUUUUGCCUAAGAAAUUUUUUUGAAAAACUGAAAACUUUUUAAAGUAAGAGAUAGGUCAUAACUAGACCGGGGUAGCUUUUGCUUGUUUGCCUUAGAAAAUUUUUUCUAAGUAAGAGAUAGGUCAUGAUUGAACCCGGGUAGCUUUUGCUUGUUUGCCUUAGAAAAUUUUUUCCAAGUAAGAGAUAGCUCAUGAUUGAACCCGGAUAGCUUUUGCUUGUUUGCCUUAGAAAAUUUUUUCCAAGUAAGAGAUAGCUCAAAAUUGAACCGGGGUAGCUUUUGGUUUUUGCCUUGGAAAAUUUUUCUAAGUAGAGAUAAAUCAUAACUGGACCGGGGUAGCUUUUGCUUGUUUGCCUUAGAAAAUUUUUUCCAAGUAAGAGAUAGCUCAUGAUUGAACCCGGGUAGCUUUUGCUUGUUUGCCUUAAAAAAAUUUUUCCAAGUAAGAGAUAGCUCAUGAUUGAACCUGGAUAGCUUUUGCUUGUUUGCCUUUGAAAAUUUUUUCCAAGUAGGAGAUAAUUCAUGAUUGAACUCGGGGUAGCUUUUUGUUUGUUUGCCUUGGAAAAAAAAAAUUCCAAGUAAGAGAUAGAUCAUGAUUGAAGUGGGACUUGCUCAUAAGCCUUUAUUCUUCUAGCUGGAUCCUUCUUUGAAUUUUCUGCUCUAGCUUUUCUCCUUCUUCCCUCCGGAUGUGUUCUGUUUUUUCUUUUUUUUUGGCCAGGAUCUUUCGCCUUGUGGCAUCACUUUUUCUCUACUUCUUUUUCCUUACUUUGUCACCAAUCCGGUCAAAAACGGAACCCCGGGAUUGGCGGGAAUUUUCAAAGUCUUCAAAAUCAGCAAUCAACCCGGGUCCUUUGAGGUUCUCGGCUCGUUGUUCCUGGUAUAACCGGAUUGCUUCGGCCAACUCUAUGUUGGUUAGAUAUGUAACAUGGUCUGCGGUCAUCGGGACAUCGAUGCACUUAACUGGUUCAUUUCAAUUGUGACCCGGGCAUCGUCUAGGUUGAUCCGGGUCUCUUCUGGAUUGAUCCCGAUCAAGAGUGGUUUAGAGAUGAGAUCCUGAUGUGGAUUGUCCUGGUCCACCGGGUUGAACUGCUAGGAUCGGGUUGAUUGGGUUUGGGUUUUUCCACCUCUUGUCAUGAUUAUAGUGAACGAUUUAAACAAGAACUACCCAGGGAGUAUGCUUGCUUUUUGGUGAAAGUGUAUGUGUGCAGUAUAGACAAUAGUGGAAUGAUAGAAAUAGUGUAGGCAGAUAGUCAACUUACUACUUCAAGAAAUGCUAGAAAUAGUUAAAUGACAAAGGUGUAAGGGACUACAGGACAAGGUGUCUUGAUGUACUACAGACAAAGUUAGGGUGCUUCUAGACAGGGUUUGCUAACAUGCACACAACAAAGAGAAUCAUGGCUGAGAGGGUUUUGAGAGAUUUGAGUGCAUUUUGAAGCUUACAGGGUUGAAUCGGGACUCCCUUUUCGGGAGUUUGCUGAUGAAGAUGAGUCCAGUGGCACCGUGACCACAGGACGGAGAAUACAACCUCCCCCUCCUUCUAGCGCCAACUGAUAACGCCAAAUCCCGUUCCGGUGCUUCCUCCGUCGUGUACUGGUGUCUUGCGGUGUAGCUGCUGGACGGGUGUCUGCAAAACAACACCGGAGGGGGGUUUGAGCCCCGCGGCGCCUCCGGCGUGAGAAUGAGUACAGGCGUCGGAAAAUAGAUAGACGGGAAAUGAGCUAUCUAUGUGUGGUGGGUGAAGGUGUAUGGCUGCUGUGUAUGGUGGCUUAGAGUGUGUGAGAAAUAUGAGAGUGUGGAGAAGAAGAUCCUUAAGCCUCUCAUCCUUGGUCUAUUUAUAGGCAAAGGAUUAGGGUUUAAGGAUGUGUACCUUGGAUCCUGCCGUCCAUCUGUAGGGCUUGGAUGCUUAACACCUGUCCAGGUGUCAGCUAAGGAAUAGUAUUUUGGAGUGUUCUGAGGUUUGUCUUCAUAGUGUCAGUAGUUGACCAUUGAGCUUGGAUCCCGGUUCAUAUCCAGACUAAGUUCCGGCAGGACUGGUGUCCACCAACCCGGGUUGAUUGCCUCUCCAGGGUCAUGGAAUUCUCUCCGGGUUGGGUGCACCUCCGGGAUUGCGUCCUUGCAUUGUUGGUCCCUCGAACCAGGGUUGGAGUUGGUCUUGCUCCCGGUUCUUGGCGGGAUUGAGGUAACCCAAUCCGGAUUGGGAUACUUGUCAGGACAUGGUUGAACUAUUCUCACCAAUCCGGAUUCAUGUUCUGGAGUGGGUGGAUUAUUCUCCGCUGGGCCGAAUUCCUCCCGGGGUUGUGCUGAGUCUGGACCAGACUUGGCCAAGGACCUUGAGAAUACGGCCGGGUUGGAUUAUAUACUAUCA
rnacentral:lncRNA from 1 species